CUGGAAGCCAGGGAGACGGGAGGAAUCGGACGCUCCCUCCUUCCUCCACCCUCCUUUAUCCUGCCUCCUUGCUCCUGCUUCCUCCCUCCUUUAUCCUGCCUCCUUGCUCCUGCUUCCUCCCUCCUUUAUCCUGCCUCCUUGCUCCUGCUUCCUCCCUCCUUUAUCCUGACUCCUUGCUCCUGCCUUCUCCCUCUAUUAUCCUGCCUCCUUGCUCCUGCUUCCUCCCUCCUUUAUCCUGCCUCCUUGCUCUUGCCUUCUCCCUCCUUUAUCCUGCCUCCUUGCUCCUCCCUCCUCCCUCCUUUAUACUGCCUCCUUGCUCCCGCUUCCUCCCUCCUUUAUCCUGCCUCCUUGCUCCUGCUUCCUCCCUCCUUUAUCCUGCCUCCUUGCUCCUGCUUCCUCCCUCCUGCUUCCUCCCUCCUUUAUCCUGCCUCCUUGCUCCUGCUUCCUCCCUCCUUUAUCCUGCCUCCUUGCUCCUGCUUCCUCCCUCCUUUAUCCUGCCUCCUUGCUUUUGCCUUCUCCCUCCUUUAUCCUGCCUCCUUGCUCCUCCCUCCUUUAUCCUGCCUCCUUGCUCCUCCCUCCUUUAUCCUGCCUCCUUGCUCCUCCCUCCUUUAUCCUGCCUCCUUGCUCCUGCCUUCUCCCUCCUUUAUCCUGCCUCCUUGCUCCUGCUUCCUCCCUCCUUUAUCCUGCCUCCUUGCUCCUGCUUCCUCCCUCCUUUAUCCUGCCUCCUUGCUCCUGCUUCCUCCCUCCUUUAUCCUGACUCCUUGCUCCUGCUUCCUCCCUCCUUCAUCCUGCCUCCUUGCUCCUACCUCCUCCUUCCUUUAUCCUGCCUCCUUGCUCCUGCUUUCUCCCUCCUUUAUCCUGCCUCCUUGCUCCCGCUUCCUCCCUCCUUUAUCCUGCCCAAUUGCUCCUGCCUUCUCCCUCCUUUAUCCUGCCUCCUUGCUCCCGCUUCCUCCCUCCUUUAUCCUGCCCAAUUGCUCCUGCUUCCUCCCUCCUUUAUCCUGCCUCCUUGCUCCUGCUUCUCCCUCCUUUAUCCUGACUCCUUGCUCCUGCCUUCUCCCUCUAUUAUCCUGCCUCCUUGCUCCUGCUUCCUCCCUCCUUUAUCCUGCCUCCUUGCUCUUGCCUUCUCCCUCCUUUAUCCUGCCUCCUUGCUCCUCCCUCCUCCCUCCUUUAUCCUGCCUCCUUGCUCCCGCUUCCUCCCUCCUUUAUCCUGCCCAAUUGCUCCUUCUUCCUCCCUCCUUUAUCCUGCCUCCUUGCUCCUGCUUCCUUCCUCCUCCCUCCUCCCUCCUUUAUCCUGCCUCCUUGCUCCCGCUUCCUCCCUCCUUUUAUCCUGCCUCCUUGCUCCUGCUUCCUCCCUCCUUUAUCCUGCCUCCUUGCUCCUGCCUUCUCCCUCCUUUAUCCUGCCUCCUUGCUCCUGCCUCCUCCCUCCUUUAUCCUGCCUCCUUGCUCCUCCCUCCUUUAUCCUGCCUCCUUGCUCCUCCCCUCCUUUAUCCUGCCUCCUUGCUCCUGCCUUCUCCCUCCUUUAUCCUGCCUCCUUGCUCCUGCUUCCUCCCUCCUUUAUCCUGCCUCCUUGCUCCUGCUUCCUCCCUCCUUUAUCCUGCCUCCUUGCUCCUGCUUCCUCCCUCCUUUAUCCUGACUCCUUGCUCCUGCUUCCUCCCUCCUUCAUCCUGCCUCCUUGCUCCUACCUCCUCCUUCCUUUAUCCUGCCUCCUUGCUCCUGCUUUCUCCCUCCUUUAUCCUGCCUCCUUGCUCCCGCUUCCUCCCUCCUUUAUCCUGCCCAAUUGCUCCUGCUUUCUCCCUCCUUUAUCCUGCGUCCUUGCUCCCGCUUCCUCCCUCUUUUAUCCUGCCUCCUUGCUCCUGCCUUCUCUCUUUUUUUAUCCUGCCUCCUUGCUCCCGCUUCCUCCCUCCUUUAUCCUGCCUCCUUGCUCCUGCUUCCUCCCUCCUUUAUCCUGCCUCCUUGCUCCUGCCUUCUCCCUCCUUUAUCCUGCCUCCUUGCUCCUGCCUUCUUCCUCCUUUAUCCUGCCUCUUUGCUCCUGCCUUCUCCGUCCUUUAUCCUGCCCAAUUGCUCCCGCUUCCUCCCUCCUUUCUCCUGCCUCCUUGCUCCUGCCUUCUCCCUCCUUUAUCCUGCCCAAUUGCUCCUGCUUCCUCCCUCCUUUAUCCUUUCUCCUUGCUCCCGCUUCCUCCCUCCUUUAUCCUGCCUCCUUGCUCCUGCCUUCUCCCUCCUUUAUCCUGCCCAAUUGCUCCUGCUUCCUCCCUCCUUUAUCCUUUCUCCUUGCUCCCGCUUCCUCCCUCCUUUAUCCUGCCUCUUUGCUCCUGCCUUCUCUCUUUUUUUAUCCUGCCUCCUUGCUCCUGCUUCCUCCCUCCUUUAUCCUGCCUCCUUGCUCCUGCUUCCUCCCUCCUUUAUCCUGCCUCCUUGCUCCUGCUUCCUCCCUCCUUUAUCCUGCCUCCUUGCUUUUGCCUUCUCCCUCCUUUAUCCUGCCUCCUUGCUCCUCCCUCCUUUAUCCUGCCUCCUUGCUCCUCCCUCCUUUAUCCUGCCUCCUUGCUCCUCCCUCCUUUAUCCUGCCUCCUUGCUCCUGCCUUCUCCCUCCUUUAUCCUGCCUCCUUGCUCCUGCUUCCUCCCUCCUUUAUCCUGCCUCCUUGCUCCUGCUUCCUCCCUCCUUUAUCCUGCCUCCUUGCUCCUGCUUCCUCCCUCCUUUAUCCUGACUCCUUGCUCCUGCUUCCUCCCUCCUUCAUCCUGCCUCCUUGCUCCUACCUCCUCCUUCCUUUAUCCUGCCUCCUUGCUCCUGCUUUCUCCCUCCUUUAUCCUGCCUCCUUGCUCCCGCUUCCUCCCUCCUUUAUCCUGCCCAAUUGCUCCUGCCUUCUCCCUCCUUUAUCCUGCCUCCUUGCUCCCGCUUCCUCCCUCCUUUAUCCUGCCCAAUUGCUCCUGCUUCCUCCCUCCUUUAUCCUGCCUCCUUGCUCCUGCUUCCUCCCUCCUUUAUCCUGA
ensembl:lncRNA